rnacentral:lncRNA from 1 species
GUUUUGAUAAAGUAGAUGCUCCAUUAGCAUCAAAGGAUUUCUUUGGCUGGUGAUCAGAUUGUAGAGAAAAUGGACUAGGAGGAACAGUGCUUGGGGUAGCAGUUGGAUGAACCACUGGUUUGAUGGGAUGCUGUACUGGAGUAGAACUACUGUGAGUCUCUGCCCUUGGCAGUCUGUAGUCUCUGUCAUUGUGCCUGCUUGUUUGAGACAAAAUAUUCUGUGGGAGCAUACUACUGGCGUCACUGGAAUGCUUGUCUUCCAUUCCACUGGCAAACCCACUGGCAGCUGUCGCCUGCAUCACCUCUCUUCUGUAAUCUCUAUCUUUUGGAAAACUGUUAACUGACAUUUUGCUUGCUUCUUUUUGUCUCUGCUCUCUUUCCAGCCACUCUUUUGGUUUUUCCCACUGUGAAACUUCUGUUCUGCAGUUGUAGUAGUACUUUUUGCCUGAAGAGCUAAUGUGUUCAGACCAAUCAUCCGCAGAAUCGUAAGCUCCAUCAGAAGUUUUGCUUGGAUUAUUGCUGGGAUUAGAAGUAUGUGAAUUUGAACUAUGAAGAGCACUGUGGUUAUGUGAAUUUUCUUGUGGAGAGUAACU